UACGUAGGGGGCUAGCGUUGUCCGGAAUCAUUGGGCGUAAAGCGCGCGUAGGCGGCCCGAUAAGUCUGCUGUGAAAGUCCAGGGCUCAACCCUGGAAUGCCGGUGGAUACUGUCGGGCUAGAGUUCGGAAGAGGCAAGUGGAAUUCCUGGUGUAGCGGUGGAAUGCGCAGAUAUCAGGAGGAACACCUAUAGCGAAGGCAGCUUGCUGGGACGACACUGACGCUGAGGCGCGGAAAGCGUGGGGAGCGAACAGG
rnacentral:rRNA from 1 species